rnacentral:tRNA from 5 species
ACAAAAAUAGCUCAGUUGGUAGAGCGCAACCUUGCCAAGGUUGAGGUCGCGAGUUCGAGCCUUGUUUCCCGCUCCA